rnacentral:tRNA from 2 species
GCGAAGGUGGCGGAAUUGGUAGACGCGCUAGUUUCAGGUGUUAGUGUUCUUACGGACGUGGGGGUUCAAGUCCCCCCCCUCGCACCA